CACUGCGCCUCCAGAGCCGCCUUGGCGCGGUCGACCACCUCGAAGAACCGGAGGCUCGGCUUGUUGGGGAUGGCAUCCUUCUCCGCCGUGUUGUUCGGGUUCGUCGUCGAGUCGAUCAGCACCGAGCCGUCGCAGCCCUGCAAAGGAGGUUUAAGCGUCCGUGCCGUCACUCUCAGGUGAAUUCCUUUACUUCCUCGCGACCUCACAAUAAUAGUGCUAAGCUUUGUGACAUAGAAAUGGUAUCUAGAACUGUUAUGCAAAAUACUUCCAUUUCAUCAUAUUUUUCAGAACUUUUCUUAUGUGCAUGUGCUUACUCUGACGAAGCAGUCAUGGAAGUGCAUGCGGAUUAUCGCCGGAGCGACGCCGGAGUCGUUCCUGAACGCGGCGGCGACGGUCUGCUGCACGAUGGUCUCGGCGGCGGGGCAUCUCGUGUCGUAGAAGCCGAAGUCGAGGCAGGCGGUGGCCGAGAGCAGCGCC
rnacentral:lncRNA from 1 species